rnacentral:rRNA from 1 species
GACGAACGCUGGCGGCGUGCUUAACACAUGCAAGUCGAGCGAGACCCCGCUUUCGGGUGGGUGUUCUAGCGGCGAACGGGUGAGUAACACGUGGGCAACCUGCCCUCAGCUCUGGGAUAACUCCAAGAAAUUGGGGCUAAUACCGGAUAUGACCGCUGACCGCAUGGUCUGGUGGUGGAAAGAUUUAUCGGCUGGGGAUGGGCCCGCGGCCUAUCAGCUUGUUGGUGGGGUAGUGGCCUACCAAGGCGACGACGGGUAGCCGGCCUGAGAGGGUGACCGGCCACACUGGGACUGAGACACGGCCCAGACUCCUACGGGAGACAGCAGUGGGGAAUAUUGCGCAAGGGGCGAAAGCCUGACGCAGCGACGCCGCGUGGGGGAUGACGGCCUUCGGGUUGUAAACCUCUUUCAGCAGGGACGAAGCGAAAGUGACGGUACCUGCAGAAGAAGCACCGGCCAACUACGUGCCAGCAGCCGCCGUAA